GGGACCACUAAUUGGAGACGGCGGAUCCACAGACCCCUCCCCUAAACGCUGCCGUUGAGGGCUGCGUCGAUAGUUUCGGUCUUCUUAUAUUUUUAAGAUGUCAUCUUUAAAGAAGAUGUGCUGUGCGGGUAUUACCGCAUGAUCUUUAGGUCGUUUUCUUUGUUUCUUUUUUUUUGUUUAGUGUUUGAAUCAGUAACAACAAAAUAUGUAAAUACGUUAACUUGUGGUAAGAGAUUAACAUUGUUGGUUCUUUAAAUAAUAUAUAUUUUUUUGUCUUCUAAAAUUUGGGUGUACAUAUCUCCAAUUUUAUUAUGAAUCUACAAAAGUAUUACUUACAGUAACAUAUGUUUUUUUUUUGUUAUGAUCUAUAUAGUGUUAUCUUGUCAAUGGAUUUAUUUUACCUUUGAUGUAAUCCAAUGCGAACAUGAAAAUAUAGUGAAAUAGCAAAGUUUGUACAUUACUAUUUCUUAUCUUCUUUUAAUAUAGUACUAAACAAAUGUAAGAAGUUAUUUGCGGUUUAAAUUAAAUAGCAAAAAUGUCUUACAUUUGUGUACAGAGUUAGUACUAAUAAAACACGUACUCCCUCUGUAAAGAAAUACAAGAGAUUUUCCUUACGGAGGGAGGACAUAUUUUUAACUUUUGUGCUAAUUGAUUAAUAUUGUUGGUUUUGUAAAUAAUAAUUGUUGUCUUCUAAUAUGAUGGUGUAGAUAAUUCUAAUUUUCAGUUAUGAUCUAUAGGGUUCUAUUUUGUUGUUGAGUUUUAUAUUAACUCUGAUAUACUCCAAUGACAUUAUGGAAAUACAGUACAUAUUUUUUUAUUAUGAUCUACAGAGUGCUAUUUUGUUGGUGGAUUUGUAUUAACUUUGAUGUAAUCUAGUGACAAAUGGAAAUACAGUCACAUAGCAUCUAUAGGUUAUUAUUUUCUUAUCGUAUUUGAAUCUAGUAACAACAAAAUAUGUAAACUUUUGUGGUAAGGGAUUCAGAUUGUUGGUUUUUAAAUGAUACUAUAACCUUUUUUGUGCUAUUUUUUGGUGGAUUUGUAUUCACUAUGAUGAAAUUUAAUGACAACAUGGAAAUACAGAAUGAUAACAUGGAAAUGCAGUGACAUAACAUUGUCUGCUAUAUCUUACAAGUUCUGACACACACACACACACACACACAUAUAUUACAUUCUUUUGGAAAAUAUAUAUUCUACAUCAUUAUUUCUUAGACUUUGUAGAUGGUUCUAGUUUUCUAAUGUAAUUUUUUAUUUCGUUCAUAAUUUUGUAUUCACUUAACUAGAAGUGAUGAAAAAUUUGUUAAGUUUGUCAUGUUAAAAAUUUGUUAAUUUGUGUUGUUUUAAUUUGAUAACACAAUCUGUUGGUGACAGCUCCAUUGUUUUAUUUGUGUAAAUAUAUGGGUGUUUUAUACAUUUCUUUUUUGACAUAGCAUAGUUAUGCGUCUUUGUUGCAGCAAGUUUUAAUAAAGAUACAUAUUUUAACUUCUGUUAAAGAAUUAAGAUCUUUGUGUUCUUUUGAUGAUAUAGAUUGUUGUGCUCUUCUCUUCUAGUAUGAUGCAUGUCAUGUCAUAAUAUGAUGACAAGUUAUGGUCUUAUAUUUGUUGCACCAAGAUUUAAUAAAUAACAGUAUAUCUUUCCGUGUCGACAAUUAUGGCUUUUUAUUGUAGUUUUUAAAUGUGAUGGCAUACUUAGUGGAAUGUACAUGUUUUUGAGAUAUGUUUGGUUGUUCCUUGAGAUAGAUCAUUUGUCGUCCUCUUGCAUGCUAUGUGUGGUCUAUAUCUUGCAGCUGAAUAGAGAUCUUCAUAUGAGAAUUAGCCUUUCAAAUAUGUACAUGUCCAGGAUUAUUAUGGCAUACUUAGUGGAAUGCAUUGUUGCCAACGUAUCCACUGGUAAAAGAGUUGACUUGUUAUAAAAAUCCAAAUGAAUUACAAUUGUGGAGACCUUAAAUAUUAUCUGCUAUGUAAUGCAUAGAGAUCUUGAAUGGGCCCACUUAUCAAGGUACCUGAUGUGUUUUGGCAAACAGAUCAUCACCACUAACUUGAAUAUUUCUGAGGUUGUAUUGGAGUAAAAGAGACUUUUAUUUGUUAUAGAUAAUUCAUUAUCAGUUCUUUUCUCAUUUUUUUACCCCAGUGCUACCAACAGCAGGUGAUAUGGAGUUUGAGUGUUCCAGUUCACAACUCAGCAGUAGAUUCUAUAGUAAUGUAAGUGAAAAUGAACCUAUAUGUAGAGGCAUCAUGUUGUUUGCUCCAGUCACAAGGUCACUUUCAUUCUUUAGUAGUUUUGUUUCUGGUGAAGUGAUGGUCUAAAAAGACUCUGAUUGUUGUAUAAACAUUGAGUCGCUGUUACUAAUGCAGUGCCACAUGCCAAAAUUCAUUUCAUGUUAAUAAUAAGUAUGACUUUCCUCUAAAUGUUAUUAUAUCAUUUGGCACAGAUCAGGCUGCAACUCAUGAGUCAUUGGGUCAAGACUGCCUGAAGACGAGUUUGCUGCCAAAGUAAAAACAUUGAGAUGCCAAAAUACCUGUUAGUUUAGUUCGUUUGAAACCAGGCACCAAAGAGUUACAAAAGAACCAUUUUCAGGUAGUCUCACUUAAUAACAACUUUCAUUACCAUCAAGAGCUAAUCCAUGAUACUGUCUGUAUUUCAGGGUGUUAGAACAUCGAUGGAUUUUGUACACUCAAGAGGAGGCUUGGGGUUUUCAUUCGUGCAUCACCAGAAAUUUACAUCCAACAUCAUAGGGAAUAUCUUGGAUUGUCACUUGCAUUGGGGAAGCAAAGGUAACACAACUUUUUCAAACCAGCCCAUGCCUAUUUCCCAUCUCAUGAAAAGAAACUACUGAGUCAGUUAGAAAACGAAGGCACCACAUUUGUACGUAGUGUGUAUGGUUCAUUUAUAUCAGCUUCUCAAGUAGUCUGUGAGCCCCAUCACAACUCGAGCUUUUGAAUGUAGUUGUCAGUAUCAACCAUGGCUAGGACUUGCCGAAGUAAACAAUUCUUGGUGCUGUAACCUUCUCCCGACAGCUUGUAGAAGCGAAGAGCAUGGAAACAAUAAUCAUGGGAAUCGUUUACUAUCUGUUAGUCAUGAAUCUACUAUGAGGUGUGGAGAACGAAGCUUCCUCCUAUUUGUCUUACUAGAAAUAAGAAAUGCACAUAGCAAGAAGCAGAAUUGCCCAGACCUAGACGAUAUAUCUUUUACUUGGUUAUUAUGGAGGUUUAGACUUGAUAAGGGUAGUGUAGUGCACGCACAGAUCAUCCCAGGUACAUAUAGAAGUUAUUACAUAUUAUUACAUAAAGGCUUUACUCCAUGGUAUGGUGAGACUUCCUUGACUCAAUUGUCGCCACCAAGAGAUCAGUGGUUCUUGGAGUUCCCCCUCAUCUGUCAGAAAAAAGGAACAUGUUAAUCACAUAAUAAUAUAGAAAAGUAUACUAGCACAUUUUAUUGCAAAAAAUUUAAAUGCCUGUUUUCUCUUUAAAUAAAAAUAAUUAGGCCCAUUCCUUUGCUAUCCAAAAUUUUGACGUCAAUACUUAAUGUUUCAGACCCAUGUUGACAUUGUCCUAAACGAAACACAUGUUAUACUAAACAGGACUGGAUGAAGUUUUUCUCAAAACAAAGUACACAAUGGGCGUGGAGGAUGUGUGUGGGCAUGGCAAACCUGAGAAGUGGUUAUUUUCCUGUGAGAACAGCCUAUCACUUGCUAGUUCAGAAAUGGUGGUCAGUUGAGGUUGCUUCAGGUUCAGGACGUGAGGAAAGUCCUAGUUGAAAAAGCUGUGGCGCUUUCCUGUGCAGCCCAGAGCAAUCCUCCGAAAUAGGCAUAUUGAAAGAAUUGGUUUUUGUGGACGUGGGGAAACCAUAUAUCAUGCCCUGUUUGAAUGUACAUGGGCAAAAUUAUUUUGGAAGGAAAUCAGAUAUGUUGCUGCAUUCAAGGUACCCGAGCUACACCCUCACUCUUGUGCUCACUCUUGGGCUAUUUGGUCACUGAGGGAUGCUAGAAAUCAUGGAGGAAGGAGCGGACAGUAGUGCACUCUGUCAAAUGGUUGUUGGAUGUGGCUUGGGAUUUAUCAUUAACGGAAGAGAAAGAAACGAUGUUAAGCACCAUUGGAAGCCACCCGAUGCAAGUACUAUCAAAAUCAGUGUUGCCUUCUCUAAUGCAAAUCACCAAUUAGGUACAGGUCUUGUAUCUGCUGUCAUGAGGGGAAGCUGAUAUGGGCACAAGCAUUGUGGUACAAUGUAGCUGCUAGUGCACCGACACUAAAAACUCUUGCAAUCAGCUGCAUAUCUACUGCAUUUUGCUCGGCUGCUGCAAAUUAUAUAGAUAUCAUUAGCUGCAUAUCUGAAACCGACCACUCACUACAGUCAAUUUGCCAUGUCAAUGUCAACGUCAGAUGGUGUAAAUAUGCUAUGCAUCACAUCAUGGUUAUUUCAUAAAUCUGAUACAUGCUUGCAUUCCGGCUCCUACUUUUUUUGUUAUAAUAAAUGGCCUAUCUUAUGGGCACUUCCAAAGCAAUAGAGGUAUAAGUUAAGGUUGCCCUCUUUCUCCCUACUUGUUUGUGCUUGCUAUAAACGAACUUUCUAUUUCUCUUCAAUAGUAAAUGUGUUGAAAUCAUUUGGAAGGGAUAUCUUUAGGGCCAGGCUGUCCACCCAUUUCACUCCCUAAUGUUUGCUGAUGAUCUUCUUCUCUGUGGUAAGGCUACUGCUACCGAAGCCAUUCACAUGUACAAUAUAUUGCAGAGUUAUUUUCAGCUUUCAGGCCAGACCCCCAAUUGGAGCAAAUCAGGUAAGAUCUUUAGCCAAAAUGUCGAUAGAAACACUAAAGAUGGCAUUAGAAACAUUUUUCAGGUGAUAGAUAUAGAUAAAAACUCAGUAUAUCUAGGACACCCUUUGAUUCUUCCAACUAAGGACAAAUCAGCUGCGUACGAUUUUGUAGCAGUAAAAUUAAGCAAUAAACUUACAGGUUACAAGGCAAACAAACUCUCUCAUGCCGGAAGGCUUACCCACAUUAAUCCUGUUUUUUUCUUCUAUUCUUGUAUAUCAUAUGUCUAACAUCCUUUUUUCAAGGAAGUUGAUUGCAGAACUUACAGCUAUCAUAAGGAACUUCUGGUGGACAAGAAUUAAUGAAGAGCCUACAACUAAAACUCUCUAUCUCUGGGCAUGGAAGGACAUAUGCAUACCAAAAUGUGAGGAUGGCUUAGGAAUCAGAAACAUUCAAGCAAUGAACAGGGGUCUCAUUCUAUCAGGAGCUUGGAGAAUUGCAGAUAUGAUCCAGAAAGUUUCCUUUCUAAAGUCCUAACAUCCAAAUAUUAUCCCAACACUUAUUUAUUGAGAGCCAGCACUAAAACCCCAAAAUCUGCAUUUUGGUCUUCCAUUAUAAAAUUACGUCAUAUUUUGAUUUCCAACUCUUCCAUACAUAUUUUAGAUGGAAAUUCAUCAAUUUGGAGCACACCCUGGUUUCCCCUUUUGCAAUCCAUCUACGACCACCUCAUAAUGCAACCAAGUCACUUUAAAUAUCCGUCUCAAGUGACAGAUCUGUGGACUCCUAAUAAAAAAUCAUGGAAAGCUAAUCUCAUCAUAUAUAAUCUUUUUGAUCAACAAACAGCUGACUGUAUAAUGCAGGUACUCGUAAUCAACCAAGAAGUAUAAGAUAUUCUAUGCUGGAAGCUACACCCAACAGGAAAAUGUUCGUCUAAAAGUGCUUAUAGAGCAUGCUUACGGGACAUGCAGCAGCAGGGGAACCCCACUCCUAGGCAGGUCCCAGAGGAAACAAAGCAACUUCUGAAGCAAGUAGAGAAGGAACAGACAAUGACACCUAGGGUGCAAACAUUUGCGUGGAGACUAUUAACGAAAGCAGUCCCACCAGGUAUGAUAGCAAUUAAGUUCUCCUCCUCACAUUAACAAACAUUGUACUCGAUGCAAUCUACAGGAAAAUGACAUGCACGUUUUGUAGCCCACUUGCUAAAGCUGCCUGUUUUUUAGACCCAUGGUACGUGAACACUGAAAUUCUCGUUCAACACUAUGAAUCUAUCCCUGCAAUUGUCAACGCAAUUCUCCAUUCCAAUCAUCCACAUGCAUCAAUUACAAACAUUAUGACUUCUUUAUGGUGUAUUUAGAAGUCCAGAAAUGAUAGUCUGUUUGGCAGGAAAGCUAAUACUAUGCAACACAUCCAUCAGGCAAUGCAGGCAAUUAUAAGAAAGAUCCUAUAAGCUAUAUACAGAAAGUGCAGGAGCUUCUUCAGUUCUUAAUUAACAAAGUCAGGACCAAGUCAAACAUGGGGAAGACCAACAGGAACCAGAAUUUGCUAUCAAUGUACAUACAGGUUUUGCAGGUCGAUUAGAGGAAUUGGUAUUCACAUGCAGACAUCAUGGUAACAUUGUAUUGCUGUAUAGAGCAGUUUACUCUUUGGCAGUUAGCUAGGCCCAUGUUAGUUGUGCUGUAGUCGAGUUGGGUAAACUAGGAUCAUAAUAAUUGUACUUUGCACGAGUUUGAUGGAGGAAGAAUCAGUACCGCCUUUAGCUUUUCCUUCCUGAUCUCCUUUUUCUUGUCAGCACGAACCUCCUUUGCCUUCGUGUUACAACUAUGUUCGGCCCGCAGCUUGUUGGUGUCAAACUUGCCAUUGCAAUUGUCGCAGGUGCUGCCCGUUUCCUCGAUCUUAGUUUCUUUCUUCUUCCCCAUCUCGAUGGACCUCUGUAACAAAAGAAAAUCGUGUGAUUGGAUCGGAAAUUCAAGGGACACAAGGACACGACACAUGGGAUUCGAAAGGGAUUGGACUGGACAAGCAACAGGCGACGGAUUUCAAAUAGAAAAUUUGGGGUCGGAUCGCAAAGGGACGAAGGAUCAGAGCUAAGCUGCGUGCGGGGCAGGGACCAGGGAUUCGGAUAGGACAGGAACGGACCUGGCGGCCGGCCGAAGCGGGGCGGCAGCGUCGGAAGCUGGUCGCUCGUCUGUCGUCUCUCCCGUCGUCAGCGGCGGCGCUAGGGUAGGCAGGGGCGCGUGGUCUGCGGAGGAAGAGAGCUGACGGUGUAUAUGGGCCGGGUGGGCUUGCGAAAUGCCUGCUAUUUUGGCCUUUUUUUUAACUACCUAUUUCAUUUACCACUUCCUUUCUACCCCCUACAAAACCUCUUUUUUUCUUUUGCAAAUAUCUUUUGUUUCCCUACACACCUCGGGAGCAACUAACUAAUGGUUACCUUCCCCUAAAAAAACAUAAACAAAACCAAUGGUUACCUCUUGGGGAGGCUUCCGCAGGGGUUAUUGGUGCGCCCAGAAGCCGCCACGUGUUGCGUUCUAGGCACACUCUUGGGAUUUUUUCUGCAUGUUUUUUUUUUGGCUUUCCGGUUUUUGACUGAUUUUUCCUAGGUUUUGAUGAAUUUUUUUGGCUUUCUAGAUUUUGACUGAUUUUCCGUAGGAAAAGCACAAUGUGUGCUUUCAUAAGAAGCACACCUGCAGUUCCAAAAAAAAGGAAAAGCACAACUUUUCUCCCGCAAGAAGCACAAUUUGUCCUUCUAAGUGAAGCACAUCAUGUGCUUUCAUGAGAGGGGAAAGCAUAGCAUGUGCUUCCACGAGAAGCACAACCAAAAAAUAGAAUAGCACAACCAGUGCUUCCCCAAAAUUGGAAAAAACACAACAGUGCUUCCUAAAAAAGUGAAAUAAAAACACAACCGUGAUUCUUGGUGUUGUUUUUUUAUCCGUUUUUUGGUAAUUUUUUGUCGGUUUUGUUUUUUUGUCUUUUUCUUCAAGUUUUGCUUUUUUGCCUUUUCUCCCUUUUUGUGAAAAAAUGCUCAUCAAAACCUAUUAACAGCAGAUCUAGUUUCAAAAAUCUCCUCGCAAGAAAUUCAAUGGAUUGACUGGUUCUGCUGUGGUGUGAGACCGCAUUCGUCGGAGAAUAACAUGAGGUGUGGCUGAGUAGAGUGAUUGCCUAGCCAACGGUAGGAGUAAGGUAGGGUGGUGACGCUUCUCGGCAGCACAGUCGGCCACAGAAGGCGGGAGCAGACGGUCUCGCCGACGUUGGUGUGGAGGUUGGAGCAAGAAUAUCAGAGAUUGAAAAAGCAAGGCGGCCGUUGGAUUGACAUCGAACCGUCACUGCUGCUAGAAUCGUUUGUUCACUAAGUUAAAAAAGCCUUGCGUAUGCGUCAACUUAUUAGGCCACAAGUCAGCCUCCAUAUCCAUGGCGAACAACAUACACUCAUUUGAUUUUUUUUAAUAAUUUACAACCCAUUUAUAGAUUCUUAUGGAACUAAUUGCAACCCAUUUUCUAUUUGUUGGCCAGGACCAAGGUUAGAAAUUUCGCAUGUUUUAAUGGGCUCCAAAUUAUUUUUAAUACCAAAAUGUUGAGUCAGAUUCAAAUGAAUUUUAAAAUAAAUUUAAAUUAGGUUAAACUUCAAUGAAAUAUGAAAUCUAAAAAUCCAAAAAAUCAGAAAUUUAAGAAGAAUUGCAAAUUUCCUGUGCUUUUUCAUGUUAACAACCCAUUUCAUAUUAGUUUUAAGAUUUACAGCCGUCUUGAGAUAUUUGGAGCUCAGUACUGUGGAGAAAAACAAGAUGGCUUGCGUUGGGUAUUAUUAAAAAGAAAAAGUUGGGUAGUCAUUUUCAUAAAGAAAAAAAAUGUUUUUUAGGGGCAAGAAAAGAAAGCAGCUGGGCUGGUUAUCUUGUAAAUAUAAAAGAAAAACCUGUGCUCGAUGGGCCGCAACCCCACACGGCCCGGUUUAUACCUUGCUUUGUCUCAAUAUAAUAACAAAAAAACUGCUCGAGUUGCUAGGUUCCAGGUUUACUUAAAAAAAGCUGCUAGGUCUCAGGUAGCCGCUCCUUGUGCAGUUCUCUUGUUUUUUUUGAAAUGGAGAUAUACCCCCGGCCGCAUGCAUCAUGAUGAUGCAUGCGGCUUCUUAUUAAAAAUCCAGAAAGUAUCAUCGUAAAGGUCUUACAGCUCGCAAACGGAGCAAAACAAAGUACAUAAACCGGCAAAUUACAAACGGACAAAGACAACCGAUACGGUAAUAAUAAGGAUAAGCUCUCUAGACUCCUAUCCUGUUAUGNNNNNNNNNNNNNNNNNNNNNNNNNNNNNNNNNNNNNNNNNNNNNNNNNNNNNNNNNNNNNNNNNNNNNNNNNNNNNNNNNNNNNNNNNNNNNNNNNNNNCUAGUACUAUCUAAUGUACAGGCUGCUUCUUGUUGCACUAGAACAAGUCAACGAUUGAAGAGAUCAACAACAGAGUAGUCAAGCUUCCCAGGUGGUAAUCUUAAUUUCGUGGCUGCGGAAGAGAUGGGUGAGGAGGACCGGAAGAAGAUUGACUCGAGCGAGUGUUUAUCAGUUUACAGAAAAGAGGUUGAGACCUCUUUUUUAGAUACAACAAAAAAAUCAUGGUUUUAGGUAUACCACAGUUUGUAAAACUAAAAUAUUUGUUAAAGGCAAACACGUCAAAGUAUUUAAAACUAGGGUUUCUACACAAACCACGGUAUAUGGAAGGACGGCAGAGUUAUUUGCUUUUGCAAUGACGAGGAAUGUUUUAUGGCUUUUAAUCCUCAUCCACCUCUCGAAGUAUCUAUAAUAUGUUUCUUUUUUUGAGCCGAAGUAUCUACAAUAUGUUUAAGAACGAAGUAAUCUAGUUGUGAUAGUAUGACAGCUCUUACCCAAUAUACCAAGAAAGACUUGCCAUAUCAAUUUUACCCCUCAAUUUUUUUAGCAUAAUUCAACAACUUUUACCUUUUUCUUUCUCGAAAUACAAAAGUUUGAUUGACCUGUUAGGUGGCCGCCACCCCCUCCUCCCUCCCCUCUCCUCUCGUCGUCCGUAGAGGUGGCCGCCAGAAAAGCCUAUGUGCCGCCGGUGAAGGAUACAAUGGGCAUCUAGAAUGCCACGACUGUGGCAGUGCACAGCGGCGGCAGAUCUUCCUCAUGCGCCUGCUCCUCCCAGCGACGUGUUGGCGCUUCGAUGACAUCGUCGGGAUGACGGAAACGAUGGAGGAUGUGACUGAUCUACGGCGGAGGCAGCAUCUACUAGGGCGGGGAUGACGGGCCAGGAGGCGGCUUUAUAUGGUGGUGCCUGGCGAAGGCAGAUCAAGGGAUCCUAUACCCGGGUUCAUCGUGGGAGGCGCUUGGCAGUCGAAGCUUUCGUUGGUGUCACUUCCUAGGUUUUUUCCAAAUCUGGUAUGUUGAAACAUUCACAGGGAAUUAAUUUUUUUCUAGGAAAAACCCAGGAACGCCUAAGAUUGCUUGUGAAUGACUUUGAUUUGCCUCGAUUUGCUUGAUUAUUUUCCUAGAAGGGUUAAAAGGCCAAUGCCACUAGUGAACACCUAGCUAGCUUUUGGAAGCAACCAAAUCAUUUGAAAUAUUAAUAGGGCAUAAGGCUAUUCCUAAUAAAUCCCAUGAAAUAUUCAAGGCAAGUAAUCUUCCCAAAAAUUGAAUUGGAUUCAUUAUGAAAUCAAUUCAGAAGUCAAGGGAAAUUAUUUAAAAAUAGUUUUGCAUUUAUUUGGGAGGAGCAGAAGUUUCAUGAGUGCAAAUAUUGAGUUUGACCUUCUACCUGUUUUCUAAAAUAGAUUUGAAACACAUUUGAUUUUGAAAUCAAAUUCAAAUACAAAUGGAAAAUGUAAGUUGCAAAAAAUAUUUCUCCAGAAUGCCCAAACAAAAAAUUGGCAUGUUCAGAAAUAUUAGAGCAAGUUUAUUUUUGGAGGGAAGCUAAAAUUCUAAAUCAAAUAAAAAUAACAAAGGCAGAGCAGAAAAUAGAAAAAACCAAAAAAACGCCCAGCCGAGCUAAGCCAGCCCACCCACGCCACUCUCUCUCCCUCUCCCACUGACGCGCGGUCUACAUCUGGCAAGGUCAUCCCUAACUUCUAACCGCACACACGCGCCCACGACCUGACGCACACGUCACCCGCGAUCUCCCCCACUCCGCACUNNNNNNNNNNNNNNNNNNNNNNNNNNNNNNNNNNNNNNNNNNNNNNNNNNNNNNNNNNNNNNNNNNNNNNNNNNNNNNNNNNNNNNNNNNNNNNNNNNNNNNNNNNNNNNNNNNNNNNNNNNNNNNNNNNNNNNNNNNNNNNNNNNNNNNNNNNNNNNNNNNNNNNNNNNNNNNNNNNNNNNNNNNNNNNNNNNNNNNNNNNNNNNNNNNNNNNNNNNNNNNNNNNNNNNNNNNNNNNNNNNNNNNNNNNNNNNNNNNNNNNNNNNNNNNNNNNNNNNNNNNNNNNNNNNNNNNNNNNNNNNNNNNNNNNNNNNNNNNNNNNNNNNNNNNNNNNNNNNNNNNNNNNNNNNNNNNNNNNNNNNNNNNNNNNNNNNNNNNNNNNNNNNNNNNNNNNNNNNNNNNNNNNNAAAAAAAAAUUGUUGGAUGAUAUCCUCUGAUAAUGAUUGAUAUUCACCCGAGCUUAGAUACAAUUGUACAUGAACGUACGAACCCCUAUAAAGUUCCAUCUUAAAAACGACUCCUGUUAAGGGCCUAUACUUUCAGUUUUCAAACAAGAGCCAAAAGUACCUAUACAUUUAUAUGCAAGUAGCCAUCUCGUAGUGUACUGGUGUGCACCAAUGAUCGAUCUAGUGUCUGCUCUACUGUGUACGUACUCGUUCCCUAUCUAGUAUGAUAUAUGAUCAGUGCAAGCUGUCCAUGUACGUACACAAGAUCUCGAUGACCCCAGGAUAGAUUAUAGUAUAUGUUGACGUGAAAGUAGCCUCGAUCAAUCUCUCACCAGUACUUGUGGUACUGCUAGUCCCUUCGGCUAAAUCUGAUAAAAGGUAUUCUACGGGAGUAGUACGUCGUAGCAGUAGAUUACUAGCUUGUAUAGUACGUAUCGCCCUAGCAUACGGAUCUGAAAUUCUGAAUGCUAGAAUACACUCUUUGCAUAGCAGCUAGCAGCAGCAAAGGAUAUUCUUGAGAUUUGAUGCACAUGCCUCUUUGCCAGCGAGUUACCUCGCUAAUUAAUCAUUCAUCUCUCGACACGUACGGCCGUACGAAGAUAAACCGAAUUUCGUGCUCAAAAGGAUACCAUCGUGAUAAUAUAGUGGUACUAACGGAUCUGAGUAGUAUUUUAAUCUACGCUUUAAUCUAGUAAUACUUUUGUCAGAGUUAUCUUGAGUACAGUCUGAAAGAAUACUGCGUUUGGCUGCUCAGUAUUUUUGGAGUUUUAGGCCUAGUUUGGCAACACGUUUUUACCAAAACCAUGGUAAUUGAAAACCUCGGUAUUCCAAUGUGUGGGGAAUGAAUAUUUCGGUUUCUAAAAACCGCAGUUUUUCUCAGUUUUAGCAAAACUAUAGAGAUGUUUGGCAAGUGCAGUUUUUCUUAAUUUCUUGGUUUUGAGCACUCGCUGCAUGGAUAAUUCUAGAUAUAGCUAGCUGAACCUAAUUGAGCUACAGCAAAGGAGUUAUACAACGAGGUGAUCAGCUUGUGCUAAGUAACGGCCGAUGCAUGCCUGUAGGCUUGUCAUGCACGCGAACAUCCUCUAGAUGCGGAUAUGUUUGGAGUAAUCUUGUAUCUCUGGCCACAUGGAAUCGAUCGGCUAGCUAGCUUAGCCCGCUGUGUAUUACUUUGCUCCAAGUAUCAAUCUAUCUACUCCAGGGUCGAAGCCUUUGCUAAAUCUUUUGUAUGUGUACAUGCACCAUCCGAUAGGACCGAACCUCUAGUACUAUCUAAUGUACAGGCUGCUUCUUGUUGCACUAGAACAAGUCAACGAUUGAAGAGAUCAACAACAGAGUAGUCAAGCUUCCCAGGUGGUAAUCUUAAUUUCGUGGCUGCGGAAGAGAUGGGUGAGGAGGACCGGAAGAAGAUUGACUCGAGCGAGUGUUUAUCAGUUUACAGAAAAGAGGUUGAGACCUCUUUUUUAGAUACAACAAAAAAAUCAUGGUUUUAGGUAUACCACAGUUUGUAAAACUAAAAUAUUUGUUAAAGGCAAACACGUCAAAGUAUUUAAAACUAGGGUUUCUACACAAACCACGGUAUAUGGAAGGACGGCAGAGUUAUUUGCUUUUGCAAUGACGAGGAAUGUUUUAUGGCUUUUAAUCCUCAUCCACCUCUCGAAGUAUCUAUAAUAUGUUUCUUUUUUUGAGCCGAAGUAUCUACAAUAUGUUUAAGAACGAAGUAAUCUAGUUGUGAUAGUAUGACAGCUCUUACCCAAUAUACCAAGAAAGACUUGCCAUAUCAAUUUUACCCCUCAAUUUUUUUAGCAUAAUUCAACAACUUUUACCUUUUUCUUUCUCGAAAUACAAAAGUUUGAUUGACCUGUUAGGUGGCCGCCACCCCCUCCUCCCUCCCCUCUCCUCUCGUCGUCCGUAGAGGUGGCCGCCAGAAAAGCCUAUGUGCCGCCGGUGAAGGAUACAAUGGGCAUCUAGAAUGCCACGACUGUGGCAGUGCACAGCGGCGGCAGAUCUUCCUCAUGCGCCUGCUCCUCCCAGCGACGUGUUGGCGCUUCGAUGACAUCGUCGGGAUGACGGAAACGAUGGAGGAUGUGACUGAUCUACGGCGGAGGCAGCGUCUACUAGGGCGGGGAUGACGGGCUAGGAGGCGGCUUUAUAUGGUGGUGCCUGGCGAAGGCAGAUCAAGGGAUCCUAUACCCGGGUUCAUCGUGGGAGGCGCUUGGCAGUCGAAGCUUUCGUUGGUGUCACUUCCUAGGUUUUUUCCAAAUCUGGUAUGUUGAAACAUUCACAGGGAAUUAAUUUUUUUCUAGGAAAAACCCAGGAACGCCUAAGAUUGCUUGUGAAUGACUUUGAUUUGCCUCGAUUUGCUUGAUUAUUUUCCUAGAAGGGUUAAAAGGCCAAUGCCACUAGUGAACACCUAGCUAGCUUUUGGAAGCAACCAAAUCAUUUGAAAUAUUAAUAGGGCAUAAGGCUAUUCCUAAUAAAUCCCAUGAAAUAUUCAAGGCAAGUAAUCUUCCCAAAAAUUGAAUUGGAUUCAUUAUGAAAUCAAUUCAGAAGUCAAGGGAAAUUAUUUAAAAAUAGUUUUGCAUUUAUUUGGGAGGAGCAGAAGUUUCAUGAGUGCAAAUAUUGAGUUUGACCUUCUACCUGUUUUCUAAAAUAGAUUUGAAACACAUUUGAUUUUGAAAUCAAAUUCAAAUACAAAUGGAAAAUGUAAGUUGCAAAAAAUAUUUCUCCAGAAUGCCCAAACAAAAAAUUGGCAUGUUCAGAAAUAUUAGAGCAAGUUUAUUUUUGGAGGGAAGCUAAAAUUCUAAAUCAAAUAAAAAUAACAAAGGCAGAGCAGAAAAUAGAAAAAACCAAAAAAACGCCCAGCCGAGCUAAGCCAGCCCACCCACGCCACUCUCUCUCCCUCUCCCACUGACGCGCGGUCUACAUCUGGCAAGGUCAUCCCUAACUUCUAACCGCACACACGCGCCCACGACCUGACGCACACGUCACCCGCGAUCUCCCCCACUCCGCACUGCGUCCACCCCGAGCUCUGCCUCCAUGUCCAAUAAAUAGCCCUCGAGCCCCUCGUCAUUCGCCCCACGCCGCGAUGCCUCUCGACCCUGGCUCCUCCGCCGCAAGCUCAUCUUCUCCGCCUCUGACCUAGAAACGCCAACGAGCACCGACCUACACCGGACUAGCUGCUACUUGUGAGCUGCGUUGGAAUUUCCCCGAAGAGGUGGGGAUGAUACAAUACAGUAGAGAUAAGUAUUUUCCUCAGUUGGAAACCAAGGCUAUCUAUCCGGUAAGACAAUCACGCAACUACUUAUUAGCAGCACCUACACAUAAAAUAACAAAUACUUGCACCCAACGCAACAUGGUGUUGUCAAUCCCUUGGCGGUUAAUUGCAAGGAUCAAAUCUCGUAGUGAUAGAUAGAUAGAUAGAUAGAUAAAACACAAAAUAAAAUAAUGCAAAGAACAAUUGCAGUAAGGUAUUUUUGUAUUGUCAUAUAUGAUAAAAGUAGACCCGGUGGGCAUAGCUUUCACUAGAGGUCUCUUACUUGAAAAUAGCAUACGGUGGGUAAACAAAUUACUCUUGGGAAAUUGAUAGAAAAACGAAUAAUCAUGAUGAUAUCGAAGGCAAUAAUCAUGUAUAUAAGCAUCACGUCCGAGAUAAGUAGACCGACUCCUGCCUGCAUAUACUACAAUUACUCCACGCAUCAACCGGUAACCAGCUUGCAUCUAGAGUGUUAACUUCAUAAAGAACGGAGUAAUGUCUUAAGCAAGAUGACAUGAUGUAGACAAAGUAAACGCAUGCAUGAAUAAAUCCCAUCCUUUUAUCCUUAGUUAAUGGAAAUGAUAAAAAUACGCGGCAUGUCCCUUUGUGUCACUGGAAUUGAACACCGCAAGAUCGAUCUCAUCACCAAGGACCUCUCCCGUUGCAAGGAAAAUCAAUCUAGUUGGCCAAAUCAAAUCAAUAGAUUGGAGAGAAAUACAAAACUAUAAUAAUCACGCAUAAAAGAGUUCAGAGAAGACUCAAAUUAUGUUCAUAGAUAAUCUGAUCAUAAACUCGCAAUUCAUCAGAUCCCAACAAACACACCGCAAAAGGUGUAUUACAUCGGAUAGAACUCCAAGAACAUCAAGGAGAACAUUGUACUGAAAAUAAAAUAGAGAGAAGAAGCCAUCUACUCCCUCCGUCUCAUAAUCUAAGACAUUUUUUGACACUAUACUGGCCCAAAAAAUGUCCUACAUUAUGGGACGGAGGGAGUAGCUACUAACUAUGGAUCCGUAGGUCUGUGAUAAACUACUCACACAUCAUCGAAGGGCAUCAAUGUUGAUAUAGAACCCCUCCGUGGUUGAUUCCCCCUCCGGAAGAUUGCUAGAAAAGGCCCCAGAUGGGAUCUCUCGAGAACAAAGAUUUGCGGUGGUGGAAAAAGGGUUUCGGGUGGAUCUCUGUUAUUUUCCCGAUUUUAGAGAGUUUAUAGAGCCAGAAUUUGGUCAAAGAAGCAAAGGUGGGCCCACGAGGCACCAGGGCGCUCCCUGGUGGCUCGUGGCCACCUCCUUCGUCUUCUGACUUCCUAAUGAAGCUUCUAGUGUCUCUUUUGUCCAAAAAAAAUCUCCAAAAAGUUUCGUGGCAUUUGGACAUCAUUUGGUACCGAUAUUCUGGAAAACAAAAAACAAGCAAAACACAGCAACUGGCACUGGGCACUAAGUUAAUAGGUUAGUCCAAAAAAUAAUAUAUAAUUGCUUGUAAAUGCAUAUUAAGCAUCCAAGAUUGAUACCAUAAUAGUAUGGAAUGAUAAAAAACUAUAGUAUGUUGGAGACAUUUCAAGCAUCCCCAAGCUUAAUUCAUGCUCAUCCUCGAGUAGGUAAAUGAUAAAAAUAGAAUUUUUGAUGUGGAAUACUACCUAUCAUAUUCAUCAUGCAAUCUUUCUUUUUGUGGCAUGAAUAUUGAGAUUCGAAUGAUUCAAAGCAAUAGUCCAUACUUUAACAUGAAAACAUAUAUACUCAAUCAUACUAACAAGCAAUCAUUUCUUUCAAAAUAUUAACGCUAAAAAAAGUUAUCCCUAGCCCGUUAUGCUCAAUCAUUGAUUCAUUCAUGAAACACAUUCAAUAUUAGAUACACACAAUGCACAAGUAUGAGAAUAGUGUUCUCCAAUUGGUGCUUAUAAAAGAAGGUGAACACUCAAAUAAAAAUAAAAAUUGCAUAAAAGUAAAUAGAUAGGCCCUUCGCUGAGGAAGCAGAGACUUGUAGAGGUGCCAGAGUUCAAGGUUUAAAAUAGAGAGAUAAAAAGAUAUUUUUGGAGGCAUGCUUUUCCUGUCAGCGACACGACUGAGAGUUCCCAACAUGUUCCAUGCUAGACACAUUAUAGGCAGUUCCCAUACAGAGAAUAAAUUUUAUUUUUUGCAUUCUUUCACAAUCCAUGGCUAGCCGUAUCUAUGGGUGCUCUCCAAGCCAACAACUUUCCAAGGAAUUUCAUAUAUUUUUUGUUUCCAUUCGUUUCGGGACUGGGCAUCCCUAUUACCUGCCACUUUCUCGUGCAAUGACAAAUGAAUAAACACUCAUCAUGAGAAUAACCCACCUAACAUGGAAGAUAUUUGCCACCCCCUGCCGCCCCAUGAGUUGUACGGGCACACAAAACGGAAAAUUAUUUUGAAAAAUUAGAGUUGACACAUACAAAUUUACUUGGAACGACAUGUAAAUACCGCAUAUAGGUAAGUAUGGUGGGCUCAUUUGUCACAACUUUAGAUUUAAGGAAGUGGAUAAACAAACAGCAUUCCCGCUUAGUACAAAUGGAGGCUAGCAAAUAGAUUGAGAAGCGACCAACCAAAAAAUAAAAUGGUCAUAAACAUGCAUUGAACAUAACUAACACUGAAUAAUGCACCAUAAGUAGGAUAUAACUUCAUUGCACAGCUAUUGACUUUACGUGCAUGCAUUCGAAAUCACAAACCUUAACACCAAUGUUCUUACUAAACCACAAUUACUCACUAGCAUAACUUACAUAUUAUCAUCUCCAUAUCAUAAAACUAUUGCAAGAAAUCAAACUGAUCAUAUUCAAUGAUCUAUAUGAAUUUUUUUUAUUAUAUCCUUCUUGGAUAUCCAUCAUAUUGGGAGCAAAUUCAUAUCCUGUGCAUAUUACCAUUACUAUUAUCAACUCUCAAAAUGAUAUAACUGAAGCAUGAGAAUGCAAAUAUUUCUUUAAAAUUUAAUCACGCCGUUCUCAAAACGACAUAAGUGAAGUACUAGAGCAACUACAUAUCUCAAAAGAUAUAAGUGAAGCACAUAGAGUAUUCUAAAAAAUCAUGAUAAAUGUGUGUGUCUCUCAAAUAGGUGUGUCCAUAAAAGAUGAUUGUGACAAACUAAAAACAAAACAAAGCAAAGGCUCUAAUAAUACACGACGUUCCAAGCAAAACUCAUACCAUGUGAUAAAUAAAAAUAUAGCUCCAACUAAUAUUACCGAUGGUCGGUAGAACAAAGAGGGUACCUUACGGGGCAUCCUGAAGCUUACAUGCUUGGGAGUCCUUAAAUACUACCUUGGGAUGCCUCAGGCAUCCCCACGCUUGGACUCUUUCCACUCCUCAUUUCUUCAUCCAUCAUGAUCUCACUCAAAACUUGAAAACUUUAGAACACAAAACUCAACAAAACCUUUGUGAGAUCCGUUAGUAUAACAAACCAAAUCACUACUUUAGGACUCCUGUAAACCCAUUCAUAUUUUAUUAUUGCAUUAUACCUACUAUAUUCUAACUUCACCGACAUGGCACCAUGAUCUCCAUCAUCGUGCCGUCAUGUAGUUAUCUCCAUAAACUAUUGCUUCUACGACUAUUGCUAACUCAUAACGAUAAAUUAAAGCAAUUACAUGGCAUUUAAUGAUUGUCACGCAGGUCAUAUAAUAAAAAAGAAACCCUAUGGCUCCUGUCGGUUGCUGUACUCAUUGACAUGCAAGUCGUGAAACCUAUUACAAAACAUGAUCAUCUCAGACAUGAACAUAUAUUACAUCACGAUUUGGCCAUACCACAUCACAACAUGCCCUGCAAAAACAAAGUUGCAAAAACAAGUUAGACGUCCUCUACUUUGUUUUUGCAAUUUUACGUGGCUGCUAGGGCAAACUAUAAGAACCGUUCUUAUCUACGCAAAACCAAAAUGGUGAUAUACAAGUUUCCUUUUAACCUUCUACAAGGACCGCUGUUGUCAAAUCAGAUUCAGCUAAGGUGGAAGAGACAGACACCCGCAAAGCCACUUUCAUGCAAUACAAGUUGCAUGUUAGUUAGUGCAACUGGUCUCUUCUACGUGGACAAGUAAGGUUAGUCCGAGCCGCUUCAUCCCACAAUACAGCCAAAUCCAAAUAAUGAAAAGGAAGUAAGCAAUUUGAACAUCGACGCCCAUAACUUCUUUGUGUUCUACUAGUGCAUAUACAUCUACGCAUAGACCUAGCUCACGAUGCCACUGGUGGGUAACAAAGCAUGAAAAACAAAAAAAUUCCUACGAAACACCCAAGAUCUAUCUAUGGAGAUGCAUAGCAACAAGAGGGAGAGGUGUCUACAUACACUUGUAGACCAAAAGUGUGAACGAUCUAGGGAUUGUGGUUGGUGUAGUCGUACUCGCGUCGCGAUCCAAGCACUGCACGUGCGACACCUCCAAGUUUAGCACACGUCCGGCUCGGUGAUAUAUCCUCCUUGAUCCAUCAAGAGAGGGAGAAUAGGUAGAUGAGAUCUGAACCAACACGGCGGCAUGGUGGUGGUAAUGGCAGCGAAACACCGACAGAGCUUCGCCAAGAGCUGGCGAAUCGAGGUGGAGGCUUAUCGGGAGAGAUGAGGCUUGGGUUUGGUGUGUCAAGCCCUUGCGCCCCCUCCCCACUAUAUAUAGGGGUGUGGGAGGGCUAGCGGCGCAGCCCUAGACCGUUCUCCAAGGAGGGUAGGCAGCCAAGGGAGGAAACUUGCCUCCCAAGGUAAGUGGACUCCCUCCCACUUAGGGUUUUUCCUUCCGAGGGGCAUGGUCCUUGUGUGGGCUGGUGCCCCUAGCCCAUUAUGGCUAGGGCGCCCCCUACAGGCCAUGCUACUAUAUGGGACGUGGUGGAACCCUUCGAGGACUUUUGGAUCCCUCUGGAACCCUCUGGAACCUUCCGGUGACUUCGCGGUACAAUACCAAAAAAACAAACUUUUUCAUGGAACCCCGACAACAACUUUUCAUAUAUAGUUUUUUUACCUCCGGACCAUUCCGGAGCUCCUUGUGAUGUCCCUGAUCCCAUUCGGGACUCCGAACAACCUUCAGACUUUCCACUAUUAAUAUCUCAAUACUACCCUAGCGCUACCAAACAUUAAGCGUGCAACCCUACGAGUUUGAGAAUCAUGUGGACAUGACUGGGAUUCCUGUCCUGUCAAUAACCAAUAGCUGGACCUGGUUGCACGGGCUGGAUCCCACAUAUUCUACGAAGAUAUUUAUCGACUGAACCACGAUGUCAAUGAUUCAGUUAAUCUCGUAUAUAAUUCCCUUUGUCCGGGGAUAUGUUACUUGCCCGAGAUUUGAUCGUCGGUAUCUCCAUACCUAGUUCAAUCUCAUUACCGGCAAGUCUCUUUACUCAUUCUGUAAUACAAGAUCCCCUGACUAAACUCAUUAGUCACAUGAAGCUUCUUAUGAUGUUGCCUUACCGAGAGGGCCCAGAGAUAUCUCUCUGUCACACGGAGUGGCAAAUCUCAGUCUCGAUCCAUGCAACCCAACGGACACCUUCGGAAAUACCUGUAGAGCAUAUUUAUGAUCACCCAGUUAUGAAGUGACGUUUGAUAGCACACAAAGUAUUCCUCCGGUGUCCGGGAGUGGCAUGAUCUCAUGGUCUAAGGAACUGAUACUUGAAUGAAGAAAGGUAUAGCAAAUAACUAAACGAUCUGAUCCUAAGCUUACGGUUGGGUCUCGUCCAUCACAACAUUCUCCUAAUGAUGUGAUCCCUCUAUCAAAUGACAACUCAUGUCUAUGGUUAGGAAACUUUAACCAUCUUUGAUCAACGAGCUAGUCUAGUAGAGGCUCUCCAGGGACACGAUGUUGCUUAUGUAUCCACACAUGUAUUUAAGUUUUCGGUCAAUACAAUUCUAGUAUGAAUAAUAAACAAUGACCAUGAAUAGGGAAAUAUGAUAAUGACCAAUUUAUUAUUGCCACUGGGGCAUAUUUCCAACAUAUUGGUGUAGCCAAGUCUCGGUGACAGACUCAUAACGAUAGACAAAUGCAGAGAGGAAGUGUUGUCUGACGUCGUGGUGGCGUCGAUGGUAGGCCUGGCAAGGUCAUUUCAUUGAUCCUUGCCCUGAGAUGGGUGCGCGGAAGACGACAACGAUGACUUCUGGAGAGUGCGCAUGCGGUGGUCGCUAUGGGUCUGCUGGACCGGUGCUCCAGUUUUAGAUUAUGUGCGUUGGGGCGAGGUCGGGGCAAGCGUUCCUGAUCAUGACCACCAUUACCAUCAGGUUUGUAGCUGGAGUGACUUUUGUCGCAUAGAAGUUGUAUUUAGAAUGGUCGAUGUUUUAUCUUGCAAGACAUUGUUGAAUAAUAUGAUAAAAAUGACUGUGUGUGUCACUCAAUGCAGAUGCGGGUUUCAAUCUCUUUUUCGAAAAAAUAACCUUUUAGAACAUCUACAAUGGUGGACAGCAAUUUCGGGCCCACAAACACCUGCGGACGUGUCCGGACGCGUCUACGGGAAGUGACUGGCUACAUCCCAAAUUUGCUCCGCUACAUUCAAAUGCCUCAUACUUGAAACCUUAAGUCCAUACAAAACAUACAAGAGAGGAAAACCUAUGUACCACGUAGAUCAAAUAACCUACACUACUCUAAUCCUCAUCGGAGAUGUCCACUAUCUUCAUGCUCAGCUCUGGGUACAUGAGCGGCCACCGCAACUCCGGCUCCCGCGGCUCCUCCGCUUCGGCCUCCGCAUCCACCUUUGCGUCUAGUUCGCCAAAAAGCACGCCAGUCGCCGCCUGUUCCUGCCGGACGAACCGUCGGGUGACCUCGGCAUAGGCCUCAUCCUGGAUGGACUCUAGGAUGGCCUGCUGCUCAGCCAUCUCGGCCAAUUGGGCAACCGCGAACUCGGCCAUGGUGUCCUCCAUGUCAAAGCCCGCAACUUGCGCUAGUUCCUCCUCCGGCUGCUCCUCCUCCUCCUCCUCCUUCAUAUCCUCCACGUCAUCCUCCCCCGGAUCCGCCACCUCCAUAGGAAUCGGCUGCUGCUCUGGCUCCGGCUGCUGGUACUGCUGCUCCUCCUCCGGCUCCUACGGCUCCGGCGAGUCCGGAGGUAGAUGACGCGGGUGGCGCGCCUUGCCCGGAUCUCCUCCUGAAUCUAGAACCGGUGCAUUGGCAUUAGCAUAGCAUACGUCGUCUUCCUUUGUCCAGCCAUACGAAGUCGGAAGACGAGGGAAGGAUGAGGUGGAGAGGGAGAGAGAUGGAUGGGCUUGGGCUGGCGGCGUGGAGAGGGAGGAAGUGAAUGUGUCUAGGGCUGGGGGACGCUGUCCAGCUUAAAUAGCCGUUGGCCCUCCGGCGGCGAGCCGGACCGACGCCACGCGGUGUUCGUGCCCCAGCAGAGGAGACGCCCGUCGGACCGUCGUGUUUUCGGGUGUUUUUUAGUGAGACCGCAACGUCAGUCCGACGUGACGGACGUGCCCGGUCACGUCCGCGCCGCCCCAUAUCCGCCCCAGAUUUGGACUAGAUAUAAGGAGUGCUGAUCAGUCCGGUUGCUUGAGGUACGUUUGAGAUGACCGCUCGAGUCGUAUUUUUUUAACCGGCCACUGACCGGACCGUUCAUCCGGGCGUUUGAUGGGGUUUGAGAAGCCCGGCCGUAGAUGCUCUUAGAAAAACCUAUCCGGGGUAGCAGAGAAAUCGGAUGCAUACUCCGAUUCGUCAGUAUGAAUCUCCAAGUCUCUGCAACGGAACGUGCAUCCGUACGUAUGCCCACGUAAUACUGUGUUAGUGUGUACUCGUAUUGUCGUACAGCAUAUGCAGACGCACAUGCUUCUCCGUUCAAGUUGCACUACUUCGAUACAGAUAGAUGAAUAGGGACGCCGGCGUCGUCCUAGUGGAGUACCUAUACUUGUAGUGCAGUGGCAAGAUAAAUGUACACGGUGCAGUAAAACCCAACAAGUACAUGUACAUCCCCGGCUUUUCUUGGCGUGUUGGGUGAGCUCGCAGCCCCGAAAGAGAUUGUACAUACGUAUGGGUGCCAGUGCGACGUCGCGCUCAAACCCAUCUAUCUAGAAAGUCUCCCAUGUACGUGGGCCUGAAUCAUCAUACGCACACCUACAUCGUCUGUUUGGUGAGUCCCCGGAACUCCAGGGAGUAUGUGUGUGUGAGAGAGAUGAACAAGUAGUAUAGCUUUUGUUUUAGAGUGGGAGAGGAAAUAAAGAGCAGUGGAUCGAUGCUGUUUCCCACAGGUCGUGGUAUAAUGGAGGUUGUUGGCAUGCACAUUUCGUCGACCCCGGCGACACGAGGGACCGGACCCCUCGAUCGCAGGCUUGUGUGAUCCAUGCUGCAGGCUUAAUGGCUGCUUCUCUCUUCGUGGAUUGGAUUGUAGUUGCGGCAGUGGUCUUUGUUGUGUCGAGGUCACAUGCAUGCACACAUGCACAGAUGCACUGUUAGUUGGGUCACGCAACCCAUCAUGCAUUGCCAAAGUGUUCACGAGGGACGGAUCCCACCGAUGUUCGUGAUGUCUGCUCUGAACGAACUCAUGCAAACGCACAGUAAGUUGCGGAGUUCUAUGCGCCUUGCUAUUUGUAAUGAGUUACCGAUAUAAAAGAACGUUUUAUAGAAAGAAAAAAAACUAAAAGAAGGAUUCAGUAUUACCGCCACGAGCAUAGGCCCCAACUACCCUGCAGUCCACUGUCGACGACGAGGACGGUCAUGGCGUCCCGUCUCGGCCUCACACGGCCGUCUUCUCCGGCAAAAUCGACCGACCGACACCCCACCCAUUUUCAGACAACUUAUGGAUAUCAACCGUUGUUACAUAUGGCAAUGCACACCCACGAGGAUACAGUAGACGUAUGUGGUUUGGUUGUACGUGUCUACUAGUAGUACGUACUUCUGAAUACAUACACAGUGUCGCCACGCCAGCACGGCCGCCGGACCACACGACGGGGUAUAGUAGCGUUUUCGUAUUGUAGUGGUAUAUUGUCUGUACGUGGACGCAGCUGUUCCUUCCAACACGAUGGAAGCGGACGUUUCAGACGGAGCCAAAAGCGUCGAGGGCACAGACGUUCCUCUCUUUCCUGCAACAUGACUCCAAAUGAGUUUGGACUUUAGACUGCAGCUUCCUUCCUUGCUACAGUAGAGGAGUACUACUACUAGCUUGCUGCUGGAUGUUUAUACGAGAAACUACCAUGUAAAAGUUGUAAAGCAUGCCCUGGCCGGGCGGGCCGGGCCGGCGAGUCAUUUAUUCUUGUGUCGAGCCUUUUUUUCUAGCUAGUACAUGGGUGCUUUCCAUGGUCAAAAGCGGGCGGGCGGGCAAUUGUGGAGGGAGGCUCCACGCACCGCACGCGCAGUGUCGCGCGCAUGGAUGGAGCUCUGGCCGGUCGAAGACGACGAGAGGACAACAGCUUGGCGCGGGAGGCACCGCACAUGGCCACUUGCUCUCAGACUGUCUCAGCUCGCACCGCUACUCUUGGCUUCUUGCUGUCCGUGUUGGCGGUGUGUUGCGUGCGUCUCUGAUAGCACAGUGCUAGUAGCAUGCAAGCGUGGUGUUCGAUGAGUUUUUAUGCACUGUUGAAUAAAAUAAUUUUUUAAUGAGUUUUGGUGCAGGCUAUAUAUGCAAAGGUAAGUUAGUAUAAUUAGCAUAACACAUGCAUGCAUGGCAGGAUGCCCACGUACUAGCACAUGGAGGCUAAAUUUCGUGUUUUGACCCUUUUCCUAAACAAAUUCAGGAUCUGACCCCACUUUGAAAUAUUUUCGGGAUUUGACCCUUUUGCUACCGCCAGAGCUCCUGGCGGUAGGGUUAGACAGCCUACCGCGCGCUGACGUGGAUAAUUACCUUACCGCCAGACAACUUGGCGGUAAGAUGUCUAACCCUACCGCCAGGUGCUCUGGCGGUAAGGUGUGGCAGGGUUUUGCCGUCCAUGCAUUCUGUAACGAAAUAUGCUAGGACCCAUGGCGGUAGGCUGUCUGACCCUACCGCCAGGGCGCCUGGCGGUGGGGUCUUGCGUUUUGCCGUAUAAAGUUUCUGUAACGAAAUAUGCAAGGGCCCUGGCGGUAGGUUCACCCUACCGCCAUGGAGUCUGGCGAUAGGUUGUGUAACUCUACCGCCAGGUAGGGUCCUCUGUUUUGUUUUUUCAAGUUCAUUUGGUUGCUUGUUUUCAAAUUCAAUAUCACAGCAAGUUUCAUAAAUAUAACAACAAUAUCAUAGAUUUUAAACAAUUAAAUUUGGGCAUCACGUAGAUCCAUAUUAAGAUAACUUGAAGUGCAUAGAACAUUUCAAACACAUAGAUCCACAAAUAGCAAACACAUAGUUUCACAUAGUUUCACAACCACUAGACAAGUUCAACCAAACUAAAAGAGCCAAGUAUCGAAGAGCAUAAUCAGUUGCUCCUUCCCCUCUUGGAGGUACGGUCCUCGUUACUCUUUGAACGAGUCUCUUCGGUCUUCUUCUUGGGCCGUCGAGGAACCGGUUUCUGGAAAGGGUCUGGACUCAUUAAAUCCUUCUUCUUCGGAUUCCUCUUCGGCAGCUGAGAUGCCUGAGAUGUUUUAGUUCGUGGAGGUCCAUAAUCUUCAUCAUACUCCUCCUCCCCGUUGCUCUCAUCCCCCUCCGCCUCCUCUUCUUCAUGUGUGGCCUCCUCAUCCUCAUCCUCUUCCUCCUCCUCCUCCCCAACCAACCUGGACGACAAGGGAGCAUGGCUCGAUGAGCCGAUGAUACCCUAUGUGGCUACAGGCUGAUAAGCUUCAACUGACCCAGCUCCAGCACACCCAAGCAGCCCUACCAGCUUGCGACAACGCUGCACGAACUUCUGCACUCACAAUGAAGCAAGGUCAUAAUAAGUAUCAGAUCGACUGACUGCAAGUGAACAAGAUGCAUCUGUUCCGAGGAGGCUGAAAUUGUACCUUCAUCGCCCCCUGACUCUGGUCUCAGAUUGUACGCUCCCGGGAAGAUGACCUAGUGCAUCUGAGGCUUCAAAGAUGCAUCUGUACAGCUCACCGGACUGCAACGACAUAAGUCAGUUACGUUGACGAAUAAAAUAUUUUAAAUACGACCGUCGGUUCAAACGUACCACUCUGUUGAUGAGGGGUGCAAACUCCCUAAAUCCACUCUGCAUGUCUCUGAUGCCGGUCUGGUAUGCCUAUUCAUCGGGGUUAGCCCACUCCAGCUCCGUGAUGUCUUCCGCCGUCCAUCGAGGCCUGAUACGAAGACGGUGCUUCUGGCCAUCAUCGUACCACCUCAUGUGUCGGCCCAGGUAAUCAUCCCAGUUAGUCACUCUCCUCUCCACGUCUUUACGCCACCUCCGUCGGUUCCACUCCGUCACAUGAGUCUUAUGCUCCUCUCCCCAGUCUGUGAUCGACUGAUUCUUCUGCCGGCUCAUGCUGCAAGGCAUAAGCAACAAGAAUCAUCAUAAGCGCAAUGAGAUCAUCAUAAGCAACAAGAAACAUGAUAAUCUCACGGAGAGCAAAGAGCUCACAAGUGGAGCGCGUGGCCGCCGGUAUCGGUGGGCUGGCCCGGUGGGGUAUGCUGAUAAAUCCCAAACUGCGUGGCCACGCGUUGUGGCAAAUGCCACUCGACGUCGUACACACAGAUCAUGGGCACGAUGCACCGCCAGAUACCACGGUCUGCAUCACACAUCAUGUUCAGAUCAAAGUCCCACUCUCGUUCUUGUCGAUACGGGCACCAGAUUACCUAUUACAUAUACCUUGGUAAGUUUGCACUCUCAGUCAAUAGUGGAAUCAAAGAGAAAGGUGUUGGGCGAGUUCAUAUACCUGCGUAUGCGUCAAAGCGUCCAACUCGUUAGUGUAGGUCUUGUACGAAGUCUUGUUUAGGCCCGUGUAGAGCUUGACAACGUCCCACUCGUAAGCUACGGUGGGGUUUCGAGUCUCGUCGCCUUCUUCGCCAUAGUCUUCCCAUGGGCGUCUUGGCAACUUCUCCGGACGCCCCACCGGCAGCCGCUCCCACAUCCAAAUGGAGAAGGCCCAGACAAAGCCACCCAUAUUGGACUUAUCUCCCGUCCUCUGCGUUGCAUCGUCAAGCUGCAAAACAUCAAAUGAGGAUCAGAUAUAAGAAAAUGUCAUGGACACACUUUCGUAGGUAGGUACGCAAUUAGACACUCUCUUACCGAACGGUAUAGGUAGGCGAGAGAUGUCGUCCCCCAACUGUACCCUGCAUCCCAGUCCGCUAGGAAGAACAGAUACGCCCAGUUGGCAGAGUUCCCGGAGCUGUCUGAAAACACGACCUCCGAGAGAAUAUACCACAGAUAGGCCCUCGCGUACAACUCCACAGUCGCCUCAUCUGCGCCUUGGGGGCAUGUCCUCCGGUGCUCCGAGAGCCAGAUCAACGACACACCGGAUGUACGGUUACUCUUGGCACCGGGGCAGUCGCCGAUGAGGGUGGUGACCCUCUCCUGCCAGUUGGCCCUCUCCACUCGACCGGUGAGUGCAUGACCCUCGAUCGGCAUUGCAGUAAUCAUCCCCCAGUUCUCUAGGGUCACCGCCAUCUCCCCGCAUGGCAGAUGGAAAGAAUGGGUCUCCGGUCUCCAACGGUCAAUCAGAGCUGUGAGAGCCGCGUGGACAAGCGUCGGCGGCUGACGCUUGAACUGCAGCACGAAACCCAACAGACGGGCUCUCUUGAAGAAUGGCGCGUAGCGCUCGUCGUAGUCCAUAUGCCCAUGAACCCCGUGACCCCUCAUGCGCAGUGGCUGGAGCGUCUGUCAAAAAGUGAAUGCCAAAAAGUUAGGAAAUCAUUUUCAUCAAUCCGAGAACUUUGAUCAAAAUUUCUUUCAUAUCACUUACCUCUCCGUUCUCUAUGAAACGGGCACGAUGACCCUUGUCGAAUGCCCAGUCCAGCAUGCAGUACCGUGGGCCGAUGUUGUCCGCAAGAGGUGGCCGCCUUAAUAGAGUUUCAUAAACAAAAGCACCAUAAGCAUAAGCAUACAUAAACAAACAAUGAACUCAAAUCAUAUCAAGAUAAAAUUUUAAGCAUAUUCGACCAACAACAUCUACUACACAUGAUGGAUCAAAUCAUAUCAACAUGCAUCAUAUCAAAAAAACCUCCAACAUGCAUCAUAGCUUCAUAUUUUUAAACAAAAUUUUCCAAACAACAUCUUCAUAUCAUCAUAUCAACAUGCAUCAUCAAACUAGAGUUCAUCUUCACACUAGAUCAUAUCAUCAUAUCACAUGCAUCAUCAAACUAGGGUUCAUCCCUUUAUCAACAUUACAUCAUAAUUUUUUUAACAAAAAAAAUUAUGAACUAGGGUUCAUCUUCACACUAACAUAUGAACUAUUGAUUAGAGUACAUAUCCAAUACCACUACUUACUAAAGAACUAAGAACUACAACUACAAUCAAUCUUAGGUGAAAAAAAAUCAAUCUUAGUUCAAAAACAUGAGGAAUUUCAAGCAAAUAAUGCGUCGAAUCGGUAGCAAGUUUGCAAAAACUAAUUGGAGGGAUCGGAGGAGCUUACGGUUCUCUCCUCGGGGCCAUCUCGAUCCGCCAAAACGGUGAAGAAUCGGUGAAGAUCCAAGGGGGGGAGUGGAGGAGAUGAGAGANNNNNNNNNNNNNNNNNNNNNNNNNNNNNNNNNNNNNNNNNNNNNNNNNNNNNNNNNNNNNNNNNNNNNNNNNNNNNNNNNNNNNNNNNNNNNNNNNNNNNNNNNNNNNNNNNNNNNNNNNNNNNNNNNGGGGAGAAGGGAAGGGGCGCGGGGGCUCCGGGGCAAAUAACUGCCCGGACCCUACCGCCAGGUGCCCUGGCGGUAUGGUUAGACAGUCUACCGCCAGGGCCCCUGGUGGCAGGGUGCGACGGAGGGGGACGGCGCCGUCUCCGCGUGCUGACGUGGAUAAGUUUCCUACCGCCAUGGACCGUGGCGGUAGGCUAUCUAACCCUACCGCCAGAGGCCCUGACGGGUAGGCAAAAGGGUCAAAUCUCGAAAAAAUUUCAAACAGGGGUCAGAUCCUGAAAUACUUUCCAAAAAGGGUCAAAACACGAAAUUUAGCCGCACAUGGAUUUGCAUGAAAUCGUGGUGCAACUAACAAAAAUGCAUGCACGAUCACAAGGUUUGGCAUAGACAUAGUAUGUAUAUACAUUAUGAAUACGUAUUCGGGUACCUCGGCCGGCCGGCAAGCACAUGUGUAUAUUUCCCCGAAUACCCGAAAUACUAGCUGACCUGACCAUGUAUGCAUGUUAUGUAUUUUUCCUUUGUAUACAGGGACAGUGGGCAAAUUAUAAAAUUUGGAAAUAGCAGACUUGUAACUGGCACACGCAUCGGAUGGAUGGUUUCCUUCCUUUUAUUAUGCAGAUGAAGAAAGGAAGUAAGGGAGGUAUUUUCAGGUAACUAAGUAUGUUUAGGGUAUAUUUGUUUUGUAGCCGUGCACACCAAGGAGAAACCAAUGAAAGGAGAUACACGUACCAACCAGAGAUAAAGAAAGUUUAAACAAGAAAGCUAUUCAAAUGGCAAGUAAUUUACGUGAAGAUCAAGCAGCCGAUUGGGAUCAACUUGGAGGAGGUGUUGAAGCAUGACCCGGCUCCAACCCUUCAGCAUAUAAAUACACGAGCCACAGCCACGGUCAGGGGCGAGGCAACCAAGUCGGAGGGAGACGCUCCCCUUGCGGCAGCGUCGAGGAGACUGAAGAGAAAACACCCGAUGACUCACGCACGAGAAGAAGGCACAGAGGAGGAGAGCGAGGGCGCGGCGCACUCAGCCCUGUCCGGCCGUUGGUGCAAUACGGCAGAGCGUACAUAAAGGAGCACACCCAUGGGAAGGUGGCGUGCACUAAUACGAAGCCUACGCGGGCAGCAAUACAGAGCUUAGCUCAGGUAAGUUACAUAUGUCUAUAACUCUCAUGUACGCAGGAGAAAUACAUGCAAUCGAAGAGAAGACGAGGAGGAAGAAUGCACGCAGGGGAGGCAGCAAACAAACCCCACGCAGCCAACGAGCGGGUCGCUACGCACACAGGCGGCCGCGGAAGAUCCAGAACCAUGGCAGCAGUUGCAACAUGCUGCAUCGUCUCAGGGCAGGGAGCUCACCACGCUGAGCUCACGAUGCAUGCACGUGCAACAAUCCUCUUGGUACGCACAAUAUUUUUCUUAGCAGGUUACAUGGAGAAGGAGGAGAUGCCGCCACCGUACCAUGGAGAAUGGAGCCGCGGAGCUCGCCAAGACGACGCCCAUCGCCAACAAUCAACCCGGUGCCGCGGAGAAUUUUGGCGGAGCGCUCACAAGGAGGACGCUCACGGUCUACUUCAUCAUGCUGGAACGAGGGACGGAGGCGUGGAGCCUGCAUGGAGGCCGUUUCGCGGAGAAUGGCGUCGUGGAGCUCGAGGGACGCCACCGACAUUCACUUCGUCAAGAUGGUGCCGCGGUGGAUGGAUGGAGCUUGCUAGGACGAUACCCGUCUUUUCUUCAUCAAGCUGGCGCCUUGGAGGACGAUGCCCAUUGUCUUCAUCAAGCGGGCGCCACGGAGGAGGACGGAGCCAUGGCGCUCGCAAGGAGGACGCCGCCAACGGCAACACCAUCAAGCUGGAGCCCGGACACGUAGAGCUCAUAAGGAUGCCGCCGGCAUGCCGCGGUUGAUGGUGGUGUGGAGCUCGCCAAGACGAAGCCCAUCGGCCAUCGCUAACAUCAUCAAGCUGAUGCUGCGGAGGAUCCUGGCAUGGAGCCCGGAGGCGUGAAGCUCACGGGGAUGCCGCCGCAGGCCACGAAGGAUGUCGACUCGGAGCUUCCUAGGAUGAUGCCCGUUGUCUUCUUCAUCAAACUAGUGGUAUGGAGGACAGAGGCCAGGAGCUAGCGAGGAUGUCAUCGUCGUGCCGUGAUCGACAUAGACACCGAGCUCGCCAAGACGACGUCCAUCGUCAACAUCAUUAAGCUGGUGCCACGGUGGACGGAGGCGUGGAGCUCGUGUGACGACACCACCGAUGUCUACCUCAUCAAGACGGAGCCCGCGACCUGGAGCCCCUGAAGAUGACACACGCCCCAGGUGCUCCCAGCAACACGGAGUCCACGACACAAAGAAGAUGGUUCUAUACGAUGACACAUCUUCACCGACCCUUACCACGAUCCGGCGAUGUGUUUCCUUUGUCUUGGCGGACCACCGAAUACGGCGUCCAGCCGAGACGAGGUGCACUCUUCAUGGCGUAUAGGUCUUGGUGUACAGGCAGCGUGCCCCUUGUCUUAGCAGACCACCGAAUACGGCGUCUAUCUAGGACGGGGUAUCAACCACGCCCUUCCAUGAUGUCACCUUUCUUCGGCACUGUCGGUGUCAAAACCGGCGGAUCUCGGGUAGGGGGUCCCGAACUGUGCGUCUAGACGGAUGGUAACAUGAGACAGGGGACACGAUGUUUUUACCCAGGUUCGGGCCCUCUCGAUGGAGGUAAAACCCUACUCCUGCUUGAUUAAUAUUGAUGAUAUGGGUAGUACAAGAGUAGAUCUACCACGAGAUCAGAGAGGCUAAACCCUAGAAGCUAGCCUAUGGUAUGAUUGUUGUUCAUCCUACGGACUAAAACCCUCCGGUUUAUAUAGACACCGGAGAGGGCUAGGGUUACACAGAGUCGGUUACAAUGGGAGGAGAUCUACAUAUCCGUAUCGCCAAGCUUGCCUUCCACGCCAAGGAAAGUCCCAUCCGGACACAGGACGAAGUCUUCAAUCUUGUAUCUUCAUAGUCCAGGAGUUCGACCAAAGGUCAUAGUCCAGUCAUACGGACACUUCCUAAUCCAGGACUCCCUCAGUAGCCCCUGAACCAGGCUUCAAUGACGACGAGUCCGGCGCGCAAAUUGUCUUCGGCAUUGCAAGGCGGGUUCCUCCUCCGAAUACUUCAUAGAAGAUGUUGAACACAAGGAUAGUGUCCGGCUCUGCAAAAUAAGUUCCACAUACCACCGUAGAGAGAAUAAUAUUUGUACAAAUCUAAUCUGCUGACGUAUUCCGUAGCGUGACAUCAUGCCAUGGCCAAGCCUUUAUUCGAAUCGUUUUACGUCCCACCUCAGCGCAUUUAGCGAGGCGGUUUCCUUGGCACGUCUUGUCAAAGCAGAGAUCGUGUCCCCUUAUUCCGGGAUUAUCAUCAAUACGGGUGUGGGUAACCCAAUCGCGCCAUUAAUCACGGCGCUUGGGAGAUAAGCGAGUUUUACUAGGUUGGUGGGGGUGCAUAGUUUCGUCCGCCCAUAUAAGGGGAUAAGGAUCCACUCUUUCCAUUUACGCCUUCUUCCUCCUUUGCUUAUCCAUCUCCGCGCACUCGAGCUCCAGCGCCCAAGUCCGCACUUCCCACCUCAACCUUCUCCAGCCAUGUCCGGAGCGGGAGGCAGGUGGAUGGCCUCCUCCAUCACGGAGAGGCACAUCAAAAAGUUGAGGAAGGCCGGAUACUUGUCAAACAACAUCGCGCACCGGCUCCCAGAUGAGGGGCAGCUCAUCCCCAGCCCCAGGCCCCAUGAGAGGGUGGUGUUCCUCCCCCAUUUCCUCCGCGAACUAGGCUUCCCACUCCACCCAUUUGUCCGGGGGCUCAUGUUCUACUAUGGCCUGGAUUUUCACGAUUUGUCCCCAAACUUCAUCCUCAACAUCUCGGCGUUUAUCGUCGUGUGCGAGGUCUUCCUCCGCAUCAAGCCCCACUUCGGCUUAUGGCUGAAGAUCUUCAAUGUCAAGCCGAAGGUAGUGGGAGGCCAGUAGGCGGAGUGCGGAGGCGCCAUGGUGGGCAAGAUGGCCAAUGUCACAUGGCUCGAGGGUUCCUUUGUGGAAACCAUCAAAGGGUGGCAAUCGGGGUGGUUCUACAUCACCGAGCCGCGUGACCCUGAAUGGGCAGCGGCCCCUGAAUUCCGAUCUGGCAUCCCCACACGGCUCACCUCAUGGAAAGAGAAGGGCCAACCGUGGGGUAAUUCGGCAGAGCUGACCGGACUACAAACCUGCGUCGAAGACCUGAUUUACAGGAAGGUUAAACUUGUCACCGUAGUCAAGGUCAUGCUCUUCCGCCGGCUCCUCCCGUGUCAACGACGUGUUUUUAAUUUGUGGGAAUUCGACCCGGCCCAGCACCAAACUUUGUCCAGGCUCUUCGACACAACGCACAAAGAUGCCUGGAAGGUGCUUUUCAAGAGCUCCGAGGUUCACCCUCCCAUUACCGAGGAUCGCGGAUUAUGUGCGAAGCGCCAAGCCAGCGCGGUAAGCUUAGUUUACCCAUUACAGGGUACUUGUUUUUCAUAGUUUGACUCUAUGCGGGAUCUAAGCUCCCAUUCCUUUAACAGGACUGGCAGAAGAAGUCCGGACAGAUCGACUGUCUGGCUCCUUUGCCCGAAGGCCCAGCAGAUGCCCGCUUGGUGAAGCUGCUGGUUCCGGCACCUCACGUGGUGCCGGAGAAGAAGGCCAAGAAGAAGGCCACGGGAACUCGAAGGAGCUCCCGGCACCUGGUGGUGUCGGACUCAUCGCCCAACGACCCCGAAGCGCACUCAUCCUCCAAAGACGAGGAGGAGGAAGAAGAAGCCUCUCCCCCUCCAACAGGGGGAGGAAAGAAAAGGAAGGCCGCCCCAAUUGGGGAGGCCGGAGGGUCCAAGAAGGGGAAAACCCUUCUUCCGGACUACGCCACCGACGCCGAAGACGACGGAGAGGAGUGUCCAUCCAGGGCCAAGCCCCUGGCAACAUCGUAAGUAUCCGGAUACCAGAAUAACUCGUGGCGUUCCUUUAGUGCACAACAUCUUCUAAUGCCGAACAUAAUCAUGCAGUCCGCCCAAGGCCCAGCUCGACUCUUCGUCGAGCGGAUCCCUGGAUUCGUCGGAUGUGAAUAGUCUUUCACUUCCGACUGCUACCUCCCCUCGCCCCACGGACGAUGCCGAGGUGGAGUCCCAGAAGGGGCCAGACCAGGAGGAGGUAGCCUCGGAGGCGCCGCAAGGCGACCUUCCGGGCUCUAGGCGCAAAGGGGAUAAAACCCCAGAGGGAUCUCAGUCCGGCCCUGGGCCGGACGCCGCACCGGAACCUUCAGUGGUUCCGGAGUCCGGCAGGCGGCCCCUUCGUAAGAAGGGCAAGCCUAUGACACCGGUGACCUCCGUCCAACCGGAGGCACCGGAUAAUUUGCUGGAGGUGCUUAACGGCGCCUCCAUCGACGAGGAGCACCGCACUAUUAUGAGUGUGGUGAUACAGAAGGUUCAGUCCUGUGCCAGCCUUCUAACAGGCUUUGAGGUAUGUAUUUAAGACAUGUAAAAAUAUUACCGCAUAGACAGUAGCCCCUGAUGCUCAGUUCGGUGUUCGGAAAGAAAAGCCGGACUGGGGAUCUGAAAAGAUAUAUGCAGGAGUCGAACAUAAAUAUGUUAAUAUGGGAAUGCAGGCUACGCCGCUGACCUCUGUCGCACUGACUGUGGAGGUCGAUGCAUUGAAGCAGAGCCUUGAGCGGUCCGAGAACGAGCUCGGCCUUGCCAAGAAGCAGCUCGAGGACAAGGAAGGUAAGUAGUAUCUUAUUUAAAUAUAUAAAAAUACCUGGUUGCAAAUAAUGACAGGACCAACGUGAAUGUUACAGGGGCCACAACCGAGGUGGCGACCCUGAAGGAAGCGCUGUCCAAGGCCAAAGACAAUGCGGUCACGGAGCGCACCGAGCGAGAAAAGCAGGAGGCGCGGGUGGAGGAAGUGCGGCAAGAGCUUCAUGCUCUUGUGAAUAAACACGAGAGAUUGGAGCUUGACUCAAAGACUCGAGAGUCCGAGCUUGCCUCGACCCUUGAGAGCGCCAAAUCCGCCAAGGCCUAAGCCCAAAAAGCCCUCCAGGAAAUUGAGUCGAUGAAGAAGAUAGCGGCUGGUAAGGCAUUCUUUAUGCAAAGCAAGCACGUAAAAGUGAAUUACUUGUUACUUACCCGAGUCCGGAGCUCUCUAGGAGCAUUCGCAGAUCUGCCCCACAGUGUGACCGACGCCGCCGCAUUCUACCGAGCCGAAAAAGGGAGCUCGACGGAGAAAGUGUUCUGGUCCCAGUAUGCUGAGGUCGGACACCCGGUGCCCUUGAGCGACCAGCUGAAGCAGCUGGUCGAGCUCCAUAAGGUAGCCGAACAGGCCAUGAAGGGCCUUAUAGGCCGGCUGUGGCCUGGGGAGGUCCUGCCUGGGAGCUACUUUGGGCUGGUGAGGCAGCUGGUGGAUGCCUGUCCACGUCUUGAAGUCAUCAAGCGCUCCAUAUGCAUCGAAGGCGCCCGUAGGGCCCUUGCCCGCGCUAAAGUGCACUGGGGCAAGCUGGAUGCUGAGAAGCUGGUGACAGAUGGGCCGUUGGAGGGGAAGGAGCAUCGCAGGCCCGAAAUGUAUUAUGAGGGCGUCCUGAAGGGUGCCCACCUUGUGGUGAAUGAAUGUACUAGGGAUGUAAUUUUUGAGUAAACUCGCUCGUGUUUAUCCUGUGCGCUGAAAACUUGUUCAUAUGCACUAAGAAACGCUUGUUGAAUUUAAAAUAUUACCUUCUAUGCGGCCGUUUGUUGAAUCUGAGAGAUGCAAGUUGUCGGCUUCUACCCCCAUGCCACGAGUGCUGGGGUGUUCGGGAUAAACCUGAGCGCUCUUGUUCCCAUUCUUGGGUCCUUCGAGGGAGGCGCUCAGCACAACGAACAAGGCAAUCAGACUAUAAUGCUUUAUCACUCUCACUUAGCCAUAGAAUUCUAUAAUUUUAAAUUUUGGCGAAGCCCCUAGUAUCCGGAAGACCGAGUUCGGGGCGCUAUCCACGCCUAGGCCGUACAAAGCCAGCUCCUCGCUCUAAGCGGCAUAAGUCUUUAGGAGAUCGAAAACCUCUCGAACAACGACCGGCUCUCGCCCUAUCAUGACGGUUAGUUUUAGCUUUCUCUAUUGAGGUGCUCAACACAGCUCAACUGGGGCACAAUCGCAGUAGUUCUCCCAGUGCUACCUUAGACGAUAAAACGGAACGUAAGGUACCAAAACAUGGGAGCCGGGCAAACCCAACUAUUGACCCAAGACAUGAUUCGGAGCUGAUGCAUAUAAUGCUAUAAGUUCGGGGUGCCGCACUCGUGAGAGUGUUCGGUCUUCUCACACCAUAUUCUGGGGUACUUAAGCCCCUGGUGUAUUGGUCGUACCAAAGUGUACGAUUGCAUAAUGUUAUAACUGAAUAUACUUACAUAAAAAAUGAAUACAAGAAUAGACAAGAGCUAUGUAUUGUUUAUUAAAGGGAUGCUGUGAAAGCAGAACGAUACAAAUAGUGUGAUAAGCAAGAGAUGGGAUUAUUUGACAUGUCCCCCUCCAGGGGCAAGCUGCUGGACUUUAUGUAAGACAGGUAUUUAGCUCGUUAAAGAGACCACCUGGACAUUCGACGCAGCUUGCUGCCUCCCUGGCUGUUGCAUCGUGUGUUCGGCGAUUGUACUGCCGGACAGGCCUUCCGGAGAAUGGACUCCUGAAAGUAAGAAAAAAGAAAUGACAAAAUCGGGAGCCCCUAGUGCGGUUGAGCCGCAUUUUGGGCGUGCCGUGGUUGUGCCCAUUCCCUUAUGCCCAUGGUAUUUCCAGAGCGUAAUUAUGUACGCGUAGCACUGGUUUCACAAUUUCGCGAGGGUUGGGGUUGGGGCCGCACUGCUACACUUGCACGGAACGUGCCAGGCGGUCUUGUUGUAGGUUACUCCGGGCACGCUUGACGGUGUUCGGACGUGUAAUAGUCGGACUGGAGAAUUGCCUUGAGAGGCUACUUUGUACUUCCUUUGCGAGGGCCACCGUAUGCUCCUCUGUUCGGAGAGAGCGUUCGGUGUUUCCAUUGACCGUAAUGACUCCUUGAGGGCCUGGCAUCUUGAGCUUGAGGUAUGCGUAGUGCGGCACCGCAUUGAACUUUGCAAAUGCGGUUCGUCCGAGCAGGGCGUGAUAGCCACUGUGGAACGGGACUAUGUCGAAGAUUAACUCCUCGCUUCAGAAAUUAUCCGGGGAUCCGAAGACCACUUCUAGUGUAACUGAGCCUGUACAGUUGGCCUCUACACCUGGUAUGACGCCUUUAAAGGUCGUCUUUGUGGGUUUAAUCCUUGAGGGAUCUAUGCUCAUUUUUCGCACUGUAUCCUGAUAAAGCAGGUUCAGGCUACUGCCGCCGUCCAUAAGGACUCUAGUGAGGUGAAAUCCGUCAAUGAUUGGGUCUAAAACCAAUGCGGCGAAUCCGCCGUGGCGGAUGCUAGUGGGGUGAUCCCUUCGAUCGAAGGUGAUCGGGCAGGAGGACCAUGGGUUGAACUUUGGGGCGACUGGCUCCAACGCAUAUACGUCCCUGAGUGCAUGCUUCCGUUCCCUUUUAGGGAUGUGGGUUGCGUAUAUCAUGUUCACCGUCCGCACUUGUGGGGGAAAGCCCUUCUGUCCCCUAUUGUUCGGCAACCGGGGCUCCUCCUCAUCAUCGCUAUGCAGCCCCUUGUCUCUGUUUUUGGUGCUUAACUUGCCUGCCUGCUUGAACACCCAACAGUCCAUGUUGCUGUGAUUGGUUGGUUUUUCGGGGGUGCCGUGUAUCUGGCACAAGCGAUCGAGUAUUCAGUCCAAAUUGGACGGGCCCGGAGUACUUCUUUUGAAUGGCUUUUUCCACUGACCGGGUUUAGAGCCUCGGAAUCUUGCGUUAACUGCCGUAUCCUCCGCAUUGUCACCGUUAAUGCAAUGCUUGUGUUUGUUGUAAUGCGACCUGCCAUUGUUGUCCUUGGUAUCCGAAUUACCAGGGCUCUUGGUCAUGUUAUUACUACGAGCUAGCCAGCUGUCUUCUCCCGCGCAAAAUCGGGUCAUGAGUGUUGUGAGGGCUGCCAUGGAUUUCGGCUUUUCCUGUCCUAGGUGUCGGGCAAGCCAUUCAUCACGAAUGUUGUGUUUGAAGGCUGCGUGGGCCUCUACGUCCGGACAGUCGACUAUUUGAUUUUUCUUGGUUAAGAACCGUGUCCAGAAUUGUCUGGCUGAUUCCUCUAGCUGCUGAAUGAUGUGGCUUAGGUUAUCAGCGUCUGGUGGUCGCACAUAGGUGCCCCGGAAGUUUUCAUGGAAUGCGGCUUCCAGGUCCUCCCAGCAACCAAUUGACUCUGCCGGGAAGCUGUUAAGCCAAUGCCGAGCUGGUCCUUUAAUCUUGAGUGGGAAGUAUUUGAUAGCGUGUAGAUCAUCACCGUGGGCCACGUGGAUAUGAAGGAGAUAAUCCUUGAUCCAUACCGCAGGAUCUGUCGUGCCAUCGUAUGAUUCGAUGUUACGGAUUUAAAACCCUCGGGGAUUUGAUGAUCCAUUACUUCAUCUGUGAAGCAUAGUGGGUGUGCGGCGCCUCUGUACUGGGCUAUAUCAUGACGUAGCUCAAAUGAGCUUUGUCUACUGUGUUCGGCCUGGCCGUAUUUGCCAUGUCCGGCAUGACGGUUAUCGCCACAUGCUGGGGCGCCCACGCGAUCCGUAGAUCGAUCUUGUUUGCCUUGCCUUGUCCUCCAAUAUGUCUCGCAGGUCCGGCGCGUUUCCCCGUGCCUUGGUAUAGCGGCGUCGGGGUGCGGCUUGAAUCGAUGUCCGAGAGGCCUCUCUGUCGCGGCCAAGAGGUGACCGGUCGGUCGCGUCGUGCGCUGGUGAUGUAGGUUUAGGUGCUUCCUCCUCUAAUCGGGGUAGCAGCCUCCGCUUUGGGUAGCUCUUGGAGGGGCGUUCAAGUUCAUACUCUUCGGCCGCAAGGACUUUAGUCCAUCGAUCGGCUAGCAAGUCUUGGUCAGCUCUAAGCUGCUGUUGUUUUUUCUUGAGGCUGCUUGCCGUGGCCAUAAGCCUGCGUUUGAAACACUCUUGUUCGACGGGAUCCUUAGGCACGGCAAAUUCGUCGUCUUCAAGGCUUGCCUCAUCUUCGGAGGGAAGCAUGUAAUUAUCAUCCUCGACCUCCCUGUCUGCCGCUCUCUCAUGAGGGCUGGCUUCUCCAUCCUCCUGUGCUGAAUCCUGCUGGAGGGGGUUGUCUUCGGCACUGUCCGGGGUGUUAUUAUCUCCCGUGCCGGAAUCACCGUUUUUGCUUUGGCGGGAUUUAGAGCGGCGCCACUGACGCCGGCGCUUAGGCUGCUUCUUGGAGGGGUCGUCCUCCGUUGUUCCAUCGCCAUUCCCUUCUUUUGGGGUGUCCACCAUGUAUAUGUCGUAUGACGAGGUGGCCUUCCAGUGCCCUAGAGGCGCUGGGUCUUGGUCAUCUCCUGCAUCGUCGUCCAUACCGUCGAUGUCUUCAGAGUCGAAAUCGAGCAUGUCGGUUAAAUCAUCGACAUUGGCUAUUAAGUGGGCGGUGGGUGGGCUUUGAAUUCAUUCGUCGUCCGCAACGCAUCCUUGCUGACCAUAGUCCAGCCAGGGCUCUCCUGAUAAGGAAAGAGACUUUAGUGAAUUCAGAAUGUCGCCGAAGGGCGAAUGCUGAAAGAUGUCCGCGGCGGCGAACUCCAUGAUCGGCGCCCAAUCGGAUUCGAUCGGCAGGGGCGCGGAAGGUUCGGAGUCCGGAGAGGAGUCCGGCACCUUGGAGUCGCGAGCUUCGCAAAGGACAAGACUGGUGUUCGGCUCGAUCGCCGUAGAGGUUGCAGCCCCCGAGGCGGUGUCUAGCCAUCCUUCCUUGAUUGGCGCAAUCGGCUCCGAACUAAGGGUCGGAGCGGACACCGGGGCGGCCUCCUGGGCACUGUUCGGCGGCAGAGCUAGAUCAUGUCCAUCGCGAAAGUGUGGCGCGCCCGGCCGUGGCUCAAAUCCGUCGAAGAUCAAGUCUCCGCGGAUGUCGGCCGUGUAGUUCAAGCUUCCAAAUCUGACCUGAUGGCCAGGGGCGUAGCUUUCGAUCUGCUCCAGAUGGCCAAGCGAAUUGGCCUGCAGUGCAAAGCCGCCGAAUACGAAGAUCUGUCCGGGGAGAAAAGUCUCACCCUGGACCGCGUAGUUGUUGAUGAUCGGAGGAGCCAUCGGGCCUAAAGAUGACGACACAGAGGAACUCUCAAUGAAAGCACCAAUGUCGGUGUCAAAACUGGCGGAUCUCGGGUAGGGGGUCCCGAACUGUGCGUCUAGGCGGAUGGUAACAGGAGACAGGGGACACGAUGUUUUUACCCAGGUUCGGGCCCUCUCGAUGGAGGUAAAACCCUACUCCUGCUUGAUUAAUAUUGAUGAUAUGGGUAGUACAAGAGUAGAUCUACCACGAGAUCAGAGAGGCUAAACCCUAGAAGCUAGCCUAUGGUAUGAUUGUUGUUUGUCCUACGGACUAAAACCCUCCGGUUUAUAUAGACACCGGAAAGGGCUAGGGUUACACAGAGUCGGUUACAAUGGGAGGAGAUCUACAUAUCCGUAUCGCCAAGCUUGCCUUCCACGCCAAGGAAAGUCCCAUCCGGACACGGGACGAAGACUUCAAUCUUGUAUCUUCAUAGUCCGGGAGUCCGACCAAAGGUCAUAGUCCGGCCAUCCGGACACCCCCUAAUCCAGCACUCCCUCAGGCACCGCGAUGCUUUGCCCUUGUCUUGUUGGACCACCGAAUAUGGCAUCCAAACGAGUCGAGGUGCAUACUUCAUUGCAUCGGGUCUCAUUUGUCGUAUGGGUGGCAUGUUCCUUGGCUUAGCAGACCACCGAAUAUGGCGUCUAGCUGAGACGGGGCAUCAACCACGCCCUGCCAUUAUGUUACCUUUCUUCGGCCCCACGGCGUGAUCCUUGUUUUGGCAGACCACCGAAUACGGCAUCUAGCCAAGAUGAGGCAUCCACCACGCCCCUCUAAGAUGUUACCUUCCACGCUCUUGUGAGGCGGAGUCUUUGCCUUCAUAGAUUGUCGUAACCUCGGCAUCUAGUCGAUACGAGGCACCUACCACACUGGCAUUGUCGAUAUGAGCGAGCAUUGGUUUUACACCGAUGCUGAUCUCCAUAAGAAUACUCCCGUGAGGCAAACCCCUUGCGUACCCCGACGAAACUGCUACAUCGUCAAGAAGUCUGAGCAGAGCAGGACCCAUGCAACUUCAACACCGACAACAUCAACGCUGUCAAGACCGACGAGGCGCGACGGCGAGGGUGUACGUGGCCAUAUUUUGAGUGGCACGUGUACCGACGAGGACACGGGCUUUGCCGCCGCCCACACCACACACACACACAC
rnacentral:lncRNA from 1 species